CGGUUCAAUUUCUCAAGAACUCCUUGGGGAACACUAUAGAAGAUCAAAUUCUACCUAGGCUUUGUCUCUUGGUGUUUUGAGGAAUGGGCUUUGAGGAGUACAUAAAUUUGAUUUUGGAAGAUGUUGGAAAAGUUAACAUCAAGAGGGAGAG